rnacentral:rRNA from 1 species
GACAGAGGGUGCAAACGUUGCUCGGAAUCACUGGGCGUAAAGGGCGUGUAGGCGGGAAGGAAAGUCAGAUGUGAAAUCCCCAGGCUCAACCUGGGAACUGCAUUUGAAACUCCCUUUCUUGAGUACCGGAGAGGAAAGUGGAAUUCCUGGUGUAGAGGUGAAAUUCGUAGAUAUUGGGAAGAACACCGAUGGCGAAGGCAGCCAUCUGGACCGACACUGACGCUGAGGCGCGAAAGCGUGGGGAGCAAACAGG